rnacentral:rRNA from 1 species
AAUGAACGCUGGCGGCGCGCCUAAUACAUGCAAGUCGAGCGAGAAGACGUAGCAAUACGUUUGUAAAGCGGCGAACGGGUGAGGAAUACAUGGGUAACCUACCCUCGAGUGGGGAAUAACUAGCCGAAAGGUUAGCUAAUACCGCGUACGCUUCUUGGACUUCGGUUCAGGGAGGAAAGCGAUGCCGAGGGUAUCGCGCUCUUGGAUGGGCUCAUGUCCUAUCAGCUUGUUGGGAGGUAACGGGCUCACCAAGGCUUCGACGGGUAGCUGGUCUGAGAGGACGACCAGCCACACUGGGACUGAGACACGGCCCAGACUCCUACGGGAGGCAGCAGUGGGGAAUAUUGGACAAUGGGGGCAACCCUGAUCCAGCGACGCCGCGUGUGUGAAGAAGGCCUGCGGGUUGUAAAGCACUUUUAGGU